rnacentral:lncRNA from 1 species
UUUAAUGAGUUUUUUUAAUAUUGAGAUUUGAGAGCGCAUAUUUUCUCUCCAUAUUUUCAUAUUUAAACUUUUUAUGUCUGUUUCAUAUUCUGGAUAAACUUUAAAAAGUCUUCUAGGUCUUUAAAAUGUGUUGUCUGCUAAUGCGUUUAUUUAUUUUGUGCAGUCCUGGGCCUUGCACCCAGGCCUUGUGCAUCCUAGGCAAUGUCUCCAGUGUCCAGUUCUCCAGAAUUUUUCAUUGACCCUUUAAAAAGUAGGUAUUAUUGGUUUUGUUUCAGGAUGUCUUUUUUAAAAAACAUGGAUGCCGUUUCUUAUUUUAAUCUCUGAGUUGCAAAAAAAUAAUCCUCAUUUUAAAGCCACUUUUCAAAUAUUUAAGUUGUUUUUGUUCCCCGUGGGGUCAUCGUACUUCCUGACUGUUGAAUCUAUCAGGUAUCGCUCUCAGCAUCUGUGCCUCCCACCGCUGCUGUUGACCUUCAUCCUCUCGCUCCACGUUGUCCCACCCCUCUCCCCUCAGAGCUGGUCCUCCCAGUCACACCGAGGCCUCCUCUGCUUGGUUCCAGGGCUCAUGCUUCAGGACCAGCUGCAUCCACAGCCCGCUGCAGAAGUCCCUGAGCUCCCCGGGCAGCCUUGGGCUCCUGUGCCUCCAGGUCUGCUUCCUCCUGCCUCCCUGGGCCACACCUUUCAGGUGAGACGGGUCAAGAUGAAUGAAAGAAGACAGCGUCGCAGGAGGACCCCAAGUCCCUGGCUUUCUGCCGUUGGGACGAUGUUUUGAAGCUAGCAGACUUUUCAUGACCUCUCACAGGAUGAGGGACGUCUAUGGUGACUAACGCGGCAGCAUCUCAGAAAUCACGGCUCUGACUCACUUACCAAGGCACCGAAGAGCUCCAAGGGAAUUCACAGUCUGAUUAGUGCAAGACUUUAAAAGAUAAAUCUGCAACAGCUUCAGAGAGGCAGCAAAAUUAAUGGCUGGCCAUCUGGCUUGGUUUUAUUGACCUAUUUGUUCCAACUGUGCUUGUUGGCGUUGCACCUGGGAUGCGGGAAGAUGAAAUAGCUGUGAGGUAUUUUUAAAGGACUUCUGAGACUUGGCUCUCUCUGUUCCUGCAAGAAUUUGUGUGAGACGAUGCUACUGCGACGAUGCUCACUCGCUAACAGACACUGAUUGUCUGACGUGCACCGAGCGCUCUUCUGGGUGGGUGCAGCCUAGCAUCCACAGACCUGGGGGCUACUCUGCCUGGUGCUUCCUGGCCAUGCCCACAUUUGCUCUUUUUUGAAAUUCUUAACCGUGUGCUAGAAAUUUUGUAAGCGCUAAAUAAAAAAUCUUGCCCAGGACACCAUAGGGUUCUCUUUUAAUUGCCUUCUCU